AACUUCUGCUUGGUACUAUUUGAAAAAAUAUUUAUUUCAAUUUAGUAAAUUUCUUUUUCAGUGUAAACAUUUAUCUAAAUUAUUUCUUCUACAAAUAAGGAGAACGAGAUAAAUUCGAACGUAAUGCGAGCUUGUUAUCUAAGCGGAGAUUAACUCGCGAGUGCACGAUAAAGCGUACUGAGGCAUAUGAGUUUGACGCAUACUUGCGGCUGACACAUUACCACACAUAACAACAUCGGUCUUCAGGUUGGAUAUGCAUACACAUAUGGUAGCCUCUUAUCACGUUAUCAGGCGCACAGCUAUGUCGCUGCUAAUGGAAACACACGCAAUGCAUCCAUUCAUGACGAGCAACAAAAAAUAGAAUUCAAUUACAAAAAGAUAUAUAUCUAAAAUCGAAAAUGCUGAAGACGAGAUAUACUUUAUCUUUUAUGAAAAUAACGUUUUCCCCGUGAACGACAGGUCUUCCAGAACUAUCUAUGUCACGAACGUAUGAAGUGUGUAAUAGAGUAAAGAGUUUGAUAAUAUCUGCAAAAUGUUGAGUAAAAUAAGCAUUCAGCUAAUAAAACCGGAAACAAUUUUUCUUUUAAAUAAAUAGCAUUUAUCAAACGAUUUAUUAUAAUAUUAUUAUAUUUGGUAAAUGUAUUGGAAAAAGUAAAAUUAUUUUUAGUGAUACUAAUCGGAUAUUUAAUUGACAUUAUCUCGCACAACGUUUGGCAGCAACAAACUCAUUUUUUAAUGGCACAGAAUAAAUAUAUUUUACUCGGAGACGUUUGCCUCAAGACACGCGAUUUCGUUGAUUUCAAGGUCUCGAAAAAAUUUGUUUUUGUGAAUCAAAAAUAAGUAUAUCAAUCUCUCACGCAAAUGUGAACGAUCGGUUUGUUAGGAAAAAAAAAAAAAAAA